rnacentral:lncRNA from 1 species
AUGCAGAGUGGAAAUCACCCUACGGAUGAUGGCAGUCCAACACAGGACAGUUCAAACUUGACUGCUCGAGCCAAUUCAAAGGAAUUAUCGCGGUUAGCAAGAUCGAAAAGGAAAAGAAAACUAGACCUGAGAAGGAGCGGAUCUCCAUCGACCAAAAAUUACUCCAGUGCGGAUGAAACAAAUGCUCUUCAAAGCUCAAACUUCACUGCUGAAGUAAACUCAACGGAACUCGCACGCUUAUCAAGACUGAACAGGAAAAGGAAACUUGACCUUAGAAGAAGCGGAUCUACAUUGAAUAACAGUUCGACCUGUUCAAAUCCAGCAAAUCACAUUGAAAGUCUCAAGAUGAAUGAUCGA